rnacentral:ribozyme from 1 species
UGUCCCGGAAAGGCGCGCUGGCGCAGACCCCCGAGGCCGGCGGCAAGGACGCGGCGCCGCCCGGGCAGGACCUGUCCCCGGGCGGCGGCGGCGG